rnacentral:rRNA from 1 species
GAUGAACGCUAGUGAUAGGCCUAACACAUGCAAGUCGAGGGGCAGCAUAGAGUAGCAAUACUUUGAUGGCGACCGGCGCACGGGUGAGUAACACGUAUGCAACCUACCUACAUCAGGGGAAUAACCCGGAGAAAUUCGGACUAAUACCGCAUAAUACAGGGAUGCCGCAUGGCAAUAUUUGUUAAAGAUUUAUCGGAUGUAGAUGGGCAUGCGUUCCAUUAGCUAGUUGGUGAGGUAACGGCUUACCAAGGCUACGAUGGAUAGGGGAACUGGGAGGUGUGUCCCCCCCACUGGAGCUGAGACACGGACCAGAGUCCGACGGGAGGCAGCAGGGGGGAAUGUUGGUAAAUGGACGAGAGUCUGAACCAGCCAAAUCGCGUGAAGGAAGACUGCCCUACGGGUUGUAAACUUCUUUUGUACAGGAAUAAAAGACAUUACGUGUAAUGUAUUGCAUGUACUGUACGAAUAAGCAUCGGCUAACUCCGUGCCAGCAGCCGCGGUAA